GGCGAACAGAGUAAGUACCGUAUCGGAGAUACUAAAGAGAAGCCAGACCUGGUGAUGAACUUGCGUGGUAGAGUCGGUUAAAAAAGCAGCGGAAUGGUGCAUCUUACGCGGGAUUCUAUGUUGUGUGAUUCAUGACUGCGUUGCAGGCAGUAUAUCAUCAUGGGGUAGCAGCCAUCUACGGGGGGCAUCUUGGGGGUUAACGUUGAACCAAUCCCGUAAGGAAACAGUCGCGCGGCAAGGAUCGGGGGGCAUCUUGGGGGGUGGGUCUGGUCGGGCAUCUGUCUCGCGCGGCAUCUUGGUUGCGGCCGGGCGGCAUCUUGGUUGGCGGCAGGGGUGCCGUUGCGCAUCUCAGCUGCCGCCCGUUGGGACCAGUCCAGCCCUGUCUAUCGCACGGUAUUACUCGUCGUAAGGUGUAACCUGCACGCACACACGACACAUCGUGCACUCUCGACCCCACCGUCCCCCACCUGCACCCCAGCAACCCUCGCCACCACGGGCCAUGUCCAGCGCCGCAGACGAAGCACCCACGAGGGAAGUGGUGUCAAGCCGGUUCGAUACUAUAUGAUACCGAACUAUCACUGGAUGCACGGGGGCAAGACAUGGCCAGCACAUGGUAGAUUGGUAGUGCUUUCGUUCCUGAGGACCUGCAUCGGUGCUGUGACCUAGAGGUGAACAGGCCCCGAGGCCGCACACAGGAGGCACGCGCAUGCCGAGCGUGUGGCGUGCCUGGGGCUGUAGCGGAUGAUUGCAUGCUCUUUCUAGAAUGCCCCGCUUAUGAGCAAAAUGUUCCAAUUAUGAAAGUAGUCUUCAGCUAUCCCAGCACUCUAUGCGUACUUGCUUUAAGAGCAAGGACCCAAGAGAGACUGCUGAGUAGAUCAGCGCUUUGUUAGCGCAUCGGGAGAGCAUAGCUAAGAGUCACACGCGUAUCCAUCGCCCCACCACAGCUUCCCAUGAUUCAAGGGACACUGUAACUGUAGCUGUGGCAUGGGUGCUGAGCCACUGCCACACAGGGCUCCAUCAUAAUGUCUCCAGACAGUAAUCGGCCUUUUUGGCCGUUUCCUAGACGUUCCUCCCGGGAGCUGAUGUCUGGGGUGAGACUUUGUUGGCCCGGGUUUGGGGCGGGUUUUGUCCGAAUUCCUAUGGAGAAGGCCCCAAACCGCCAUGUGCCCAGGCAAAUGACGGCGGCCGCCCAGGCGUUUUUGGUUGCGGGCGCUGGCGAACUAGUAGCAAAUGCAAGGACAGCCGCAAAGAUUGACACCAUUGUAGUUGGGCUGGCCAGUGGUACAUGCUGUGGGCGCCUGGGAAGCAUGACUGGCUAGGGGGCGUGACUGCAGCAGGGCACCGGCGUCAGAUCACUCACUCGUAUUGGCAGCUGGAGCUGGGAGGAAGGCCAACUUUAUGCGAUGGUGCUGCUGGUGUGGCGGAGGUGAUGGCAGCUUGCUGCUUUACGUGGCGGGAUGCUGCAAGUCAGGCACGGCGGCAUGUACCAAGUCAGUAGCGGCCUGCCUGGCACAAACUCCAGAGCUUGGCCUGACGCGUACUUGGGGCAACCAAGCGUUCAAAUAACAAAGACGGUGCUCUCGCGAUGCAGAGUGCGAUGGUGUUUCUAGACACCUUCACAGCGGGGACCGUUGCACGACAUCCCACGGGUGCUUUAUGGUCAUGUACGCGGGGGGGGGGGGGUAGAUAGCUCAGAAUCUUAAUCCAUGCUUAAAAUCGUAGAGCUUUAGGAAAGCAUUACGCACGUAGUUUUAGUUUUGUCAGGGGUGGUCUGAUAAGGAAGUUCUGGGCCGAUAAAGUGGGGGGGGGUCGGUCGUCGUCCCUGGGGGUCUGCCGGGUUUCGGGAGCCCGUCCUGGCGGAUUUUGGGAAGCGCCCCAUAAACAGAACUAGGGGCCAAACUCAGCACCACGAGGCUCAAACAUGCACGUUAUGCAGUAGCACGCACAAACAAAGCGUGGGAGGGACUAGUUUGCACGGCAUGCACGUCGGCAUGUCCCCACUUUCGACGAAUGCGCAUUGACAUGGCGGGGCUCUCAAGGGCAGGUGCGCAUGAAUUCAUGUGUAACAAGGCUGCCAAUGCACGCUGUCCAUACAUCACAUGGCAGAGAGAUGAACGCGGGGUGGGCUUUCGAAGGGAUUUCCAUAGAAUCCGCCUGGAAUCCCGCGUGUGACCGAAGUCUUAGAACAGGAUCGGCGAUGCCACAGCGUGAUAGCGCUCGUCAAGAGGAGUUCACUUUGGUAUUACAUGUACGGGUUUUAACCCUAAACAACAAGUUUUGCCCGUUGGGGGUUCGCCGGGUCCUGCCGGGUCGGUGCUCCCCUCAAAGGGGUGCCGGGGGAUUUCGGGGCAUGCGGUCUGGCACUUUGUUUCCUACCCCCAACCUCCUGAUGUACGCUCCCGGUCAUGCUGGGCGUGGGACCUUGUGCUGUUGCGUGGAGGCGCAUCCCGACCAGCCAGGGACGGUAGGACGCCGCGCACAGCCGCAUUAGAGGGUUGUGGGUUGCCGCAACUAGUGGUCUCUGCGGACUGCUGAGUUCGCGCACAUCCCGGGACUUCAUGUCAGUUGUCAGCACUUGUCAAGUCAACCAGUUACCAACUAGCACAGCGUUGAGCGCGCUAACCUACCACAACGCAAGGAGCCCUGUUUAGCGAAUAGAGGUUACAUGUGGGAUGACAGCCGCGGGCAAGCCAGGGCUUCAUAAACGCACGAGACACGUACGCACACUCGAGGAGAGAACCUCGAAUGACCCCCAUGCUCCUCGCCUCACUAAAGGAGGGGAGGAACCCCGAGCAAGGCUCACCGCAAACGCUAGCGCUGCUCACCUAAGCCGCGGGUCGGCGUCAGACUGACUGCCACUUUGCAAAGUGCAACUCCUACCCCAAAACACCAGCACCAACAGGGCAGGGCCCUCACACUGUUGGGUGCAGCCCGAAGCUGCAUCCUGUCGACGGCCUAGGGCCGGUCCGACCCACCAGACAGCACAAGCCACAGCGCCCGCACCCUAGCGCAGGCGGUGCAGGCACGCCCACCGCCCAACCAAGUCCACACAGCCGCGCAACACCCUAGCACAGCAGACAGCGCAAGCCAGCCUUCGCUUAGUCGGCCUGCGCCAGCCAGCCUUCGCUGGACUGCCUUCGCCAGACUGCAUUCGCCAAGCAGGUCUCUCCACUGGCCACACCACGAGGUGUGUAGAUGCGCCCACAGCUCCAGCCGCCGCCGCCCGGAAGACGCCGGUCCUGGCUCCCGCCGCAGCGUGCCCCGAAAGAGCCGCUCAGCGACACGCCACUGCGAGCCCGGCAGCAGCGAGCGCCCCGCCAGAAGCAUCGCGAAGCCAUGAGGACGAGGUCGAACGGCGAGCAGGCGCGCCACCCACGCUAGGUCGCGAAGGCUCCACGGUGUGAAGUCAUGAUGUUCGGCAAAGAUUGCCAGAGCGGGGUCCGCUCGGCAGGACGGCGACGAUGAUGUCGCCGACUGAGUGGCGCGCCGCAGCCAGAGCAGUACUGACGCACUACAGCUGACCUAAGCAACGCCAGGGACGCCAUGGAGGCGCCACAGGGGAUUGGCGCGGCCACGAAGGCCGGCCAGGAACUACUACCGACAAGGAGGGUUAGGGCGCCGAGGCGCCCUAACGCAACCAAGCGGAGUAGAACGAGUUCAAUAGCUGAUAGAGGUUACAUGUGGGACGACAGCCGUGGACUAGCCAGGGCCCCAAAAACGUACGAGACACGCACGCUCACCCGAGGAGAGAUCCCCGAAUGACCCCCAUGCUCCUCGCCUCCGGAGAGGGGAGGAACCCCAGGCCCGGCUCACCGCAAACGCUAGCGCUGCUCACCUAAGCCGUGGGUCGGCGUCAUAAGACUACCUCUUAUUGCGAGUCCCUAAGCUGACAAGCUAGGGUGAGGCCGGUGGCGAGUCCGCUGUUGGCCCUACCAAGAUAACCCCUCCAACAUCAUCUGACGCUAGGAAUGGGUGCUGGUUCGGGACAAGGUCCCAGCGGCGCGGAGGCCGACGCAGACUCACAAACGCAGCUAGCCGUGACCAGAAGUCCGCAAUCACCUCCACACCGAUCCUUCGCACAACAGCAACCUCCGCAGUCCGGUCUGCAGCAUCACGGCAAGCGUAAAGGCGCUGUCGGCCGUAUUCCAGGGCCGCCACAGCAGCCAAGCACACGAUGUCCCACACCGCCUGCGAUAGCCCUGGUGGCGCCUGUACUCAAUAGCGAAUAGAGGUUACAUGUGGGACGACAGCCGCGGGCAAGCCAGGGCUUCAUAAACGCACGAGACACGUACGCACACUCGAGGAGAGAACCUCGAAUGACCCCCAUGCUCCUCGCCUCACUAAAGGAGGGGAGGAACCCCGAGCAAGGCUCACCGCAAACGCUAGCGCUGCUCACCUAAGCCGCGGGUCGGCGUCAGACUGACUGCCACUUUGCAAAGUGCAACUCCUACCCCAAAACACCAGCACCAACAGGGCAGGGCCCUCACACUGUUGGGUGCAGCCCGAAGCUGCAUCCUGUCGACGGCCUAGGGCCGUGCAAGUUCGCUGAACCACGAGGAUCAGCCGGUCCGACCCACCAGACAGCACAAGCCACAGCGCCCGCACCCUAGCGCAGGUGGUGCAGGCACGCCCACCGCCCAACCAAGUCCACACAGCCUCGCAACACCCUAGCACAGCAGACAGCGCCAGCCAGCCUUCGCUUAGUCGGCCUGCGCCAGCCAGCCUUCGCUGGACUGCCUUCGCCAGACUGCAUUCGCCAAGCAGGUCUCUCCACUGGCCACACCACGAGGUGUGUAGAUGCGCCCACAGCUCCAGCCGCCGCCGCCCGGAAGACGCCGGUCCUGGCUCCCGCCGCAGCGUGCCCCUGUUCACGCGCAGCGAGCCCGGCGCCACGUCAGGCCGCGGCAGCAGCCCACAGCAAGAGUCGCCAGCAGCUCCAAUCGGCCCGCCGUUACCGAAAGAGCCGCUCAGCGACACGCCACUGCGAGCCCGGCAGCAGCGAGCGCCCCGCCAGAAGCAUCGCGAAGCCAUGAGGACGAGGUCGAACGGCGAGCAGGCGCGCCACCCAUGCUAGGUCGCGAAGGCUCCACGGUGUGAAGUCAUGAUGUUCGGCAAAGAUUGCCAGAGCGGGGCCCGCUCGGCAGGACGGCGACGAUGAUGUCGCCGACUGAGUGGCGCGCCGCAGCCAGAGCAGUACUGACGCACUACAGCUGACCUAAGCAACGCCAGGGACGCCAUGGAGGCGCCACAGGGGAUGGGCGCGGCCACGAAGGCCGGCCAGGAACUACUACCGACAAGGAGGGUCAGGGCGCCGAGGCGCCCUAACGCAACCAAGCGGAGUAGAACGAGUUAGCUGGUUCAAUAGCCCAGCUAUAUACAUAUGCCAUGGAAAGUGUGACGCACCCGGUGCGUUUGCGCUACAGCGCGAUUUAGCUCGAACCAACUAGCAUGAUCGAUUAUUCGCAGCUUCCUGUAUACGUGAUCUUCUGUCCAGGCCGCGAGAGCGAGUGCAGCGUAUGAACGAAGCCGGUAACUGCGCUUUCUUGGCUUCCUCGAGAAUGCGCGCAGCUAUAACUUACAGUGCGAUGUAUUAGCGACACAGUCUGGCCUGCCAGAGCGCGCACUUGCAAGAAUUUCAGAGCGGGCUCGUUCCGAUCGGCUGGGAUGAAAGCUUACACGAUAUGUGCGAGCAGCUGUAUCCGUUGAUAUAAUCGGUGAGCAAAGUCAUGCACAGUUGCGAUGUGCUGUGAACUUUUAGCACGCUCGGCGACCCAGCUCGGCGAACCUCCUCGCUGGCGGGGGG
rnacentral:lncRNA from 1 species